rnacentral:rRNA from 1 species
AAUGAACGCUGGCGGCGUGCCUAAUACAUGCAAGUCGAGCGAACAGACGAGGAGCGUGCUCCUCUAACGUUAGCGACGGGCGGGUGAGUAACACGUGGAUAACCUACCUAUAAGACUUGGAUAACUUCGUGAAACCAGAGCUAAUACCAGAUCAUAUAUUGAACCGCAUGGUUCAAUAGUGCUAGACAGUUUUGCUGUCACUUAGAGAUGGAUCCGCGCCGCAUUAGCUAGUUGGUAAGGUAACGGCUUACCAAGGCUACGAUGCGUAGCCGACCUGAGAGGGUGAUCGGCCACACUGGAACUGAGACACGGUCCAGACUCCUACGGGAGGCAGCAGUAGGGAAUCUUGCGCAAUGGGCGAAAGCCUGACGGAGCAACGCCGCGUGAGUGAUGAAGGUCUUCGGAUCGUAAAACUCUGUUAUUAGGGAAGAACAAAUGUGUAAGUAACUAUGCACGUUUUGACGGUACCUAAUCAGAAAGCCACGGCUAACUACGUG